rnacentral:rRNA from 1 species
UUCGGUCAAGUUACCAAGGGUAUACGGGGGAUGCCUUGGCACGGGUAGGCGAAGAAGGACGUGGUAAGCUGCGAUAAGCCUCGGGGAGCGGCAAACACGCUUUGAUCCGGGGAUUUCCGAAUGGGGCAACCCGAUUCCUUCAAUCAGGAAUCACCCCCCGCUGAAUCCAUAGGCGGGGCGGAGCGAACGAGGAGAACUGAAACAUCUUAGUAACCUCAGGACAAGACAACAAUAGUGAUUCCCCCAGUAGCGGCGAGCGAACAGGGAACAGCCCAAACCGGUUGGCACGUUAAAGGCGGCGUCCGUUGUGCGGCCGGGGUAGCGGGAUUCAUCAUGGUUCUGGCGCUGCAGAACCGGGAAGUCACAAACCACAUUCAUAGCCGAAGCACCUGGAAUGGUGCGUCACAGAGGGUGAAAGGCCCGUAGGCGAAAUGGAUGCGGCUUCCUCGAUGGACACCCAAGUAGGCCGGAACACGAGAAAUUCCGACUGAAUCCGUCGCGACCACGCGAUAAGGCUAAAUACUCACCCGUGACCGAUAGUGAACCAGUACCGCGAGGGAAAGGUGAAAAGCACUCCUGACGGAGAGUGAAAUAGUACCUGAAACCGUAUACCUACAAGCUGUGGGAGUCCUUCGUCGGUCUUCGGACCGGCGCGGGAUGACCGCGUGCCUAUUGAAUAAUGAUCCGGCGAGUUGCUGGCAUGUGGCCGGUUAAGCCAAACACUGGCGGAGCCAUAGCGAAAGCGAGUCCGAAACGGGCGCCUCAUGGUCGUAUGCCGCAGACCCGAAGCCGUGUGAUCUAGGCAUGGCCAGGAUGAAAUCCCGGUAAAACGGGAUGGAGGUCCGAACCCACCUGCGUUGAAAAGCUGGGGGAUGAGCUGUGCCUAGGGGUGAAAGGCCAAUCAAACUCGGCGAUAGCUGGUUCUCCCCGAAAUAGCUUUUGGGCUAGCCUCGUGUCAUAGAGCCGCGGAGGUAGAGCACUGAAUGGGUUAGGGGCCCCACAAGGUUACCGACCCCAAUCAAACUCCGAAUGCCGCGGUAUCGUUCCACGGGAGUCAGGGCGCGAGGGAUAAGCUUCGCGUCCGAGAGGGAAACAACCCAGAUCGCCAGCUAAGGCCCCCAAGAGUACGCUGAGUGACUAAGGAUGUAGGACUACUAAAACAGCUAGGAUGUUGGCUUAGAAGCAGCCACCAUUUAAAGAGUGCGUAAUAGCUCACUAGUCUAGUGAUCCUGCGCCGAUAAUUCCCGGGACUAAGCGUGCCGCCGAAGCUGCGGACUGCGCCGCCAGGCGCAGUGGUAGGGGAGCAUUGCCAACGGGGUGAAGGCCGUCCGUGAGGGCGACUGGACCGUUGGGAAGAGAUUAUGCCGGAACGAGUAGCGAUAAGACGGGCGAGAAACCCGUCCACCGAAAACCCAAGGGUUCCUGAGGAAGGUUAAUCCGCUCAGGGUUAGUCGGGUCCUAAGCCGAGGCCGACAGGCGUAGGCGAUGGAAAACAGGCGAACAUUCCUGUACCUCCUGAUGGUGCGUUUGAGCGAUGGGGUGACGCAGAAGUGACGGCCGGUCCGGUGUCGGAAUACCGGAUCCAAGCUCGUAGGGGGGCGCGGCAGGCAAAUCCACCGCGCCAUGACCCCGAGAAGCGAUGGGGAGGGCUCUGCCCACAAACCGGCCUUAAUCCCGCUGCCGAGAAAAGCCCCUAAGCGAGUAUCGUCGGGAGCCCGUACCGCAAACCGACACAGGUGGGUGAGGAGAGUAUCCUAAGGUGCUCGAGAGAACCCUCGUUAAGGAACUAGGCAAAAUGGCCCCGUAACUUCGGAAGAAGGGGUGCUCCUGAGUACGUCGGCGUCCACGCGGCGUCCGGCGGAAUGGAGCGACAGUAAAGUGGCCUGGGUGACUGUUUACUAAAAACACAUGUCUGUGCGAAGCCUAAGAAGGCGACGUAUACGGACUGACACCUGCCCGGUGCUGGAAGGUUAAGAGGAGGGGUUAGUCCGCCGCAAGGCGGGCGAAGCUCUGAAUCGAAGCCCCAGUAAACGGCGGCCGUAACUAUAACGGUUCAAACACGUCCCCACUCUUCCGAUUCGCUAUCUGACUCUCCGCCUCCGGCGGAGAGGCAAAUAGGGCCGUUACCAAAUCCGGCUGUAUGCUGGAAUAUCCGAGUAUCGUCCGCUACUUCGCGAUGCGACGUAGGGGCGACCCGCUGGGUCGCCCGUGGGCGAGGCAACGCCUCGCCCACCACAAACACCCGGGGUGACAAUGCGCGGCGUGCGGACAACCAGCAGGAAAGACUCCGACGCAUCCGACCGAUGAUUCGUAGGGGCGACCCGGUAGGUCGCCCAUGGGCGAGGCAACGCCUCGUCCCUACAGAAUCCGCGGACGGUGUGACGGAGAAUCCUCAGAGACUGUACGCCGGAGUGCCGAAGCCACUUUAUACGGACUUUGUUGAUGCGGGUCCCUAGGGGCGCGAUUCAUCGCGCCCGUAAAGGCGCCGUCGGUACAAGAUACAGUCCGACCUGCAUGGCGACAUGCAGAGUCCGGCGGAAACGACCGGACCGAUCCUGCACGUAGGGGCGCGAUUCAUCGCGCCAGGCGCGUGGGAUGCGUAACAAAUCGCCUAAGGUAGCGAAAUUCCUUGUCGGGUAAAUUCCGACCUGCACGAAUGGUGUAACAACUUGGGCGCUGUCUCAACGAGGGGCUCGGCGAAACUGUAGCAGCGGUGAAGAUGCCGCUUACCCGUAUCGGGACGGAAAGACCCCGUGAACCUUUACUGUAACCUGGCAUUGGGUUUUGAUGUGACAUGUGUAGCAUAGGUGGGAGACUGUGAGACCGGGUCGCUAGAUUCGGUGGAGUCGCCGUUGAAAUACCACCCUUGUGGCAUCGGAAUUCUAACCCAGGGCCGUGAAUCCGGCCCGGGGACAUUGCCAGGCGGGCAGUUUGACUGGGGCGGUUGCCUCCUAAACUGUAACGGAGGCGCCCGAAGGUUCCCUCAGGCUGUUUGGUAAUCAGCCGCAGAGCGCAAAGGCAUAAGGGAGCUUGACUGCGAGACCUACAAGUCGAGCAGGUGCGAAAGCAGGGCUUAGUGAUCUGGCGGUAGCACGUGGAAGCGCCGUCACUCAACGGACAAAAGGUACUCCGGGGAUAACAGGCUUAUCUCCUCCGAGAGUUCACAUCGACGAGGAGGUUUGGCACCUCGAUGUCGGCUCAUCGCAUCCUGGAGCUGGAGAAGGUUCCAAGGGUUCGGCUGUUCGCCGAUUAAAGCGGUACGUGAGCUGGGUUUAGAACGUCGUGAGACAGUUCGGUCCCUAUCUGAUACGGGCGUAGGAAACUUGAGGGGAGCUGUCCUUAGUACGAGAGGACCGGGAUGGACGGACCUCCGGUGCACCGGUUGUCACGCCAGUGGCAUCGCCGGGUAGCCGCGUCCGGAUGGGAUAAGUGCUGAAUGCAUCUAAGUACUAAGCCCACCCCAAGAUUAGGUUUCCCGUCGGCUUCGGCCGACACAGGCCCCAGGGAGAUAACCUGGUUGAUAGGUCGCAGGUGUAAGCCCCGUGAGGGGUUCAGCCGAGCGAUACUAAUCGGCCGACCGACUUGACCGAUUU